rnacentral:lncRNA from 1 species
UGGAAAACACCCUCGACUGUGUGUUUAGUGGGUUAAGAUCUUCUCAAUUUAUGAUCAAUUAGAGAAAUACAACACAAAUAAGUUUGAAAAAAGUAUAAAAUAAUUAAUGAUAGUAGAAUCCAUUUAAUAGUAAGACCCAUUAUCAAUUUUUUGUAUCUAUCUCACUUCAAAUUACGUAUUACAUUUAUUUUAAAAAAUGAAGAUAAUCUUAACUCAUAUUUAAUCAACGCUUUAAUUUUCAAGAUAAAUUUUACUUUCGGAUGCGAAAAAAUAUUCUCCAGCUCC